AAUCCCAAAUUCUCGAUAAUACUCCACACAUUGAAGCGGAUAUUUUAUACUGAAGAGACACUGAAAAGGAGGCAUUUUGCAUACAAGCUGCUCCGUACGCCUUCAAGCUCUUUGGAACAGCACCAGUCUUACCUGUGAGGUGCAUUACAAAUACAGAGAUGUAAGAAGAAACUUCAUUUCUUGACUGCCAUUCACCCCAUGUCAGAGAAGGUUCCUCUACAAUAUUAUCAUCCAUUGAGGAUUUUGAAGUUUCCUCAUCAUCUGA